ACAUUUACAUUUACAUUUAAGUCAUUUAGCAGACGCUCUUAUCCAGAGCGACUUACAAAUUGGUGCAUUCACCUUAUGACAUCCAGUGGAACAGACUUGCCUAGUUAAAUAAACGGUUAACAGACAGGAGAGAAUAAUGAGAGGGAAAGCAGCCGUUGUUCUCAACACACCUAUAUUUAACAUGUUGAUUGUUUACCAACACUGUUUAUUCUUAGUUACAGCAAACAUGUCAGGUAGUUACUCUGUCAAAAAAUAAAUACAUGACCAAGCCGCACUGUUUCAACAAAACUAUAGUGGGAUAUUGAAAGUGUAGCUAAAAUAACUUCUUAUCCAACAGACUACUAGAUAUGUAUAACACACUUCCCCGUUAAUCUAUGAUAUUACCUUGAGGGCGUAUUUGUCUCCGCUUUUCUUGUGGAAGAUCUCCAGCACCCUUCCGUUGAUGCCGUGUCCCAGUACCUGACUGGUCACUUUGUACUCGUCCGUUAUUGCGUUCUUCUUGAUCUGUAGGGUCGGUUUCACAUGAAACUGUGAGAGGUGACCCGAAGGGGGCGGGUUAGGUUGGCCCGCCGGGGUAGCUGGGCCCUGGGUCGGGGGGAACAGAGGCUGGGUCCCGGUGUUGGACAACAUAUUGGGUCAGCUCAACCAGACAAUGACAGCACUUUCCUUCUCUCUCUGUCGGUCUCUCCUUCCUGGGUUACAGAUGGGUGUACCGGAAACCUAGUUACAACACUCGGGUCUGCAGCUGCCAGUUUCCCGGUCCAACAACAGUGCGUCCCUCAGGACAUCCGGUGCCAGUGUGAUCCAGUUGUAGAGGUUCAAGCCGGGGGACGGACAGAUCAAUAAUUCAUCAAAGACAUGAGGCGUAACAUGCGGAAACAUCAGGCUCAGCCCAGGAGAAGCAGUACAUGAUCAACGCCACUCUCAACAAGGAGAUCUGCUGGACAUUAUCGUUCUCUAAGACAUUUAAACAUCACAGAUAGAAAUUCGCACACGAUAAAAUGCAACGUGGAUUGUAUUGUACUACUGGAUGAAACUGAGGAGAUGCACUCAGAUCUUUGUGAUUGAACUUACAUUAACUUAGACAUAGUAACCAGGAGUGGUAUGGUGUUGAUAUCGUGUAGGCAUAGUAACCAGGAGUGGUAUGGUGUUGAUAUCGAGUAGGCAUAGUAACCAGGAGUGGUAUGGUGUUGAUAUCGAGUAGGCAUAGUAACCAGGAGUGGUAUGGUGUUGAUAUCGUGUAGGCAUAGUAACCAGGAGUGGUAUGGUGUUGAUAUCGCGUAGGCAUAGUAACCAGGAGUGGUAUGGUGUUGAUAUCGUGUAGGCAUAGUAACCAGGAGUGGUAUGGUGUUGAUAUCGUGUAGGCAUAGUAACCAGGAGUGGUAUGGUGUUGAUAUCGUGUAGGCAUAGUAACCAGGAGUGGUAUGGUGUUGAUAUCGUGUAGGCAUAGUAACCAGGAGUGGUAUGGUGUUGAUAUCGUCCGUAUCUGAAGAACAAAAGGCAGUCCCUCCAGGAUUUCGCAACAUUUUUUCGGAAUUUCUGCAGCCAAAAAUGCUUGAAUUUGCGGCAGCUUUUCUGAAAUUCUGCGAUACAUUUCACAAUGUUUUUUAUGUGCUCAGUUUUAGGACAACUUUAAGCAGAAAACAUCAUACAAAAACAAUUAAACAUCUAAAGUGCUCAAUUGUGUUUAUUUUCCUGAAUAAACAACUCAUAAUAACUCAACGUCAUAAUCCUCUUCUCUCCAUCAGGCUUGGGGCUUGCUAUCAACUCAAGAUGCACCUCCCAUUCCUUCUCUCUCUCUCCCUCUCCCCCUC